rnacentral:lncRNA from 1 species
AUCUGGUCAGAGUCACAAACUUUACUCCACGACCUAGACCAGUUCAUCCCCUAACUCGUCCCGCUGCGUCAAGGCAUAAGGCUUUGCAACCCGUACCUAGAGUUAGCGUUUUCUAUUAGAUCAAGGCCUAAGGCUUUUCAACCCGUACCUCGACCUAACAUUGUGUUAGACCGGACUAGUCAAAUAUCAGAGUACUCAUGAAGCGCAUAUAAAAAAAAUUUCUUUAUUGAUUCAAAAAAUAUUCAUACAUUGAAUAAUUCAAGACUGGGUCCGGCCUAAUGCCAAAUCGAGUCAACAUAACACAAUUCACAAUUCCAUUUACAAAAGGCAUGAAAAUCUACACCGGCGGUCCUAACGUCCAGCUCCAAGCUAUCCGAUCAUCCUUACCUAAAGCGACCUGCAAAAAGGAAAACAGAGUUGGAUGAGUAAUCUAGUAUUACUCAGUGAGUUACAAUCCCCAACUAACAAAUACAACCUCUCGCUAUCCCACCCCAAACAAUCUAAAGCGAGAGGUUCACCUAAUAGCACAAUUCAAUCACAUAAGCAAUAUCAGAAAUACGCAGCGGUAAACGAUAGCAAGAUAACUAGCAUUAUGCUAAUUACCAACUCAUCACCAAACUCAAACUCGAUUUAAACCAGGGUUUAACAACCCAAAACAAGAUAUAAUAUAUAUAACAAAC